rnacentral:rRNA from 1 species
AAGUCGAGCGGCAGCACGGGUACUUGUACCUGGUGGCGAGCGGCGGACGGGUGAGUAAUGCCUAGGAAUCUGCCUGGUAGUGGGGGAUAACGCUCGGAAACGGACGCUAAUACCGCAUACGUCCUACGGGAGAAAGCAGGGGACCUUCGGGCCUUGCGCUAUCAGAUGAGCCUAGGUCGGAUUAGCUAGUUGGUGAGGUAAUGGCUCACCAAGGCGACGAUCCGUAACUGGUCUGAGAGGAUGAUCAGUCACACUGGAACUGAGACACGGUCCAGACUCCUACGGGAGGCAGCAGUGGGGAAUAUUGGACAAUGGGCGAAAGCCUGAUCCAGCCAUGCCGCGUGUGUGAAGAAGGUCUUCGGAUUGUAAAGCACUUUAAGUUGGGAGGAAGGGCAGUUACCUAAUACGUGAUUGUUUUGACGUUACCGACAGAAUAAGCACCGGCUAACUCUGUGCCAGCAGCCGCGGUAAUACAGAGGGUGCAAGCGUUAAUCGGAAUUACUGGGCGUAAAGCGCGCGUAGGUGGUUUGUUAAGUUGGAUGUGAAAUCCCCGGGCUCAACCUGGGAACUGCAUCCAAAACUGGCAAGCUAGAGUAUGGUAGAGGGUGGUGGAAUUUCCUGUGUAGCGGUGAAAUGCGUAGAUAUAGGAAGGAACACCAGUGGCGAAGGCGACCACCUGGACUGAUACUGACACUGAGGUGCGAAAGCGUGGGGAGCAAACAGGAUUAGA